UAUGACGGCCAGAGCGGCGGGGAUACACCCGGUCCCAUCUGAACCCGGAAGUUAAGUCCGCCUGCGUUUCAUGUUGUACUGCGGUGCGCGAGCCCUUGAUUUGUGAUUUUAAUCGAUUAUUAAAA
rnacentral:rRNA from 1 species